rnacentral:rRNA from 1 species
GACGAACGCUGGCGGCGUGCUUAACACAUGCAAGUCGAACGGAAAGGCCCUGCUUUUGUGGGGUUCCCGAGUGGCGAACGGGUGAGUAACACGUGAGUAUCCUGCCCUUGACUUUCGGAUAUCUUCAGGAAACUGCGGCUAAUACCGGAUAGGAGCUCCUGCAGCAGGGUGGGCGUCGGACAUUUCCGGCGGUUGUGGAUGGACUCGCGGGUUACCAGCUUGUUGGGGGGGUAGUGGCUUACCCCGCCUUAGACGGAUAGCCUGCCUGAGAGCGUGGCCAGGGUCCAGACUACUAAGGUACGCCCCAGACGGGAACGGGAGGCAACGGGGGGAAAUAUGGCGCAGUGAGGCGGCGUGUGUGAAGACAGCGCUGCGUGCGGAAAGACGGUCUUCGGGGUGUAAACCGCUGUGGCCUGAGACGGAGCGUGAGUGACGGUAAUGGGUAAAGAAGCACCGGCUAACUACGUG